CGCUUAUAGAGAAAGGCAGAGGGAAUAGACCCGAUGAAGCCUUAGCAACCUGUCCCUUGACAAGGUGCUAAAUUCUACCCUACUUGAUAUGGGAAUGAUAAGCC
rfam:Sphingobacterium sp. Ag1 JX05_contig_2, whole genome shotgun sequence.